rnacentral:rRNA from 1 species
UGGGGAAUAUUGGACAAUGGCGCAAGCCUGAUCCAGCCAUGCCGCGUGAGUGACGAAGGCCUUAGGGUUGUAAAGCUCUUUUGGCGGGGAAGAUAAUGACGGUACCCGCAGAAUAAGCUCCGGCUAACUUCGUGCCAGCAGCCGCGGUAAUACGAAGGGAGCUAGCGUUGUUCGGAAUCACUGGGCGUAAAGCGCACGUAGGUGGGCAGUUAAGUCAGGGGUGAAAGCCCGAGGCUCAACCUCGGAAUUGCCUCUGAUACUGGCUGUCUAGAGUUCGAGAGAGGUGAGUGGAAUUCCUAGUGUAGAGGUGAAAUUCGUAGAUAUUAGGAAGAACACCGGUGGCGAAGGCGGCUCACUGGCUCGAUACUGACACUGAGGUGCGAAAGCGUGGGGAGCAAACAGGAUUAGAUACCCACGUAGUCCCUGAGCGGGCUGGCAAGGCGCAU